ACAAUACUCCCUUCGUUCCGAAUUACUUGUCGCAAAAAUGGAUGUAUGUAGACGUAUUUUAAUUCUUCAUACAUCCAUUUUUAUUCAUUUUCGCGGCAAGUUAUUCCGACCAGAGGUAGUAUAUU
rfam:Triticum aestivum genome assembly, contig: Triticum_aestivum_CS42_TGACv1_scaffold_288159_4AL